CGGGUGAGUAACACGUGGAUAACCUACCUAUAAGACUGGGAUAACUUCGGGAAACCGGAGCUAAUACCGGAUAAUAUUUUGAACCGCAUGGUUCAAAAGUGAAAGACGGUCUUGCUGUCACUUAUAGAUGGAUCCGCGCUGCAUUAGCUAGUUGGUAAGGUAACGGCUUACCAAGGCAACGAUGCAUAGCCGACCUGAGAGGGUGAUCGGCCACACUGGGACUGAGACACGGCCCAG
rnacentral:rRNA from 1 species